AGUGAACGCUGGCGGUAGGCCUAACACAUGCAAGUCGAACGGCAGCACAGUAAGAGCUUGCUCUUACGGGUGGCGAGUGGCGGACGGGUGAGGAAUACAUCGGAAUCUACUUUUUCGUGGGGAUAACGUAGGGAAACUUACCCUUAUUCCCCCUACGACCUACGGGUUAAAGCAGGGGAUCUUUCGAACUUUCCCGAUUUAAUUGGCCGAGUUCGGGUUAGUUAGUUGGCGGGGGAAAGGCCCACCAAGGGGACGGACCGUAGGUUGGCUGAGAGGAUGAUCAGCCACACUGGAAAUGAGACACGGCCCAGACUCCUACGGGAGGCAGCAGUGGGGAAUAUUGGACAAUGGGCGCAAGCCUGAUCCAGCCAUACCGCGUGGGUGAAGAAGGCCUUCGGGUUGUAAAGCCCUUUUUUUGGGAAAGAAAAGCAGCAGGUUAAUACCCCGCUGUUCUGACGGUACCCAAAGAAUAAGCACCGGCUAACUUCGUG
rnacentral:rRNA from 1 species